AGAGUUUGAUCCUGGCUCAGGACGAACGCUGGCGGCGUGCCUAAUACAUGCAAGUCGAGCGCAGGAAGCAAGCUGAUCCCCUUCGGGGGUGACGCUUGUGGAAUGAGCGGCGGACGGGUGAGUAACACGUGGGCAACCUGCCUGUAAGACUGGGAUAACCCCGGGAAACCGGGGCUAAUACCGGAUAAUACUUUCUUUUGCAUAAAGGAAAGUUGAAAGGCGGCUUCGGCUGUCGCUUACAGAUGGGCCCGCGGCGCAUUAGCUAGUUGGUGAGGUAACGGCUCACCAAGGCGACGAUGCGUAGCCGACCUGAGAGGGUGAUCGGCCACACUGGGACUGAGACACGGCCCAGACUCCUACGGGAGGCAGCAGUAGGGAAUCUUCCGCAAUGGACGAAAGUCUGACGGAGCAACGCCGCGUGAGUGAUGAAGGUUUUCGGAUCGUAAAACUCUGUUGUUAGGGAAAAACAAGUUGGGUAGUAACUGACCCAACCUUGACGG
rnacentral:rRNA from 1 species